AACAGAAAAAUUGUUGCAUGGUGCAAUUGAAGAGAUAUAUUUUCUGCAAGUGCGUUUGAUGGGCCUCAAUACCAAACUAAGUCUUAAGCCUGUCAUUCACUGAUCCUGACUUAAUCUAUCUAUCAUUCCGACCUUGAUUCGGCCAAAACUCAUUUCACGCUUCCGUAUCUGUCAUUCCGACCUUGAUUCGGCCAAAAUUCGAUUCGGCCAAAAUUCGUAUCACGCUUCCGGCUAGUAAAUUGGCUCUGAUACUAUCUGACUCAAUCCGCCGGUAAUAAUAAUUCGUCGGGUCAAACCAUUUCACGCUUCCGUAUCUGUCAUUCCGACCUUGAUUCGGCCAAAAUUCGAUUCGGCCAAAAUUCGUUUCACGCUUCCGACUAGUAAAUCGGCUCUGAUACCAUCCGACUCAAUUCGCCGGAAAUAAUAAUUCGUCGGCUCAAACCAGCCGUUCAAAUUACUUAAACCUAAUUAUUAUUAUUAUUAUUAUUAGAAUGUAGUCCACUCAUAUAUUCAAUAAUAAUUUUAUUAUCAUCCGAUUUGGGACUAU
rnacentral:lncRNA from 1 species